UCGUCGGAGAGGGCACGCACGCGCAU
rnacentral:sRNA from 1 species